CCAAUAGCGUAUAUUAAAGUUGUUCCAGUUAAAAAGCUCGUAGUUGAAUUUUGGGAUCAAUGGGUUGGUCAUGCCCUCGGUAUGUACUGAUUUCAUUGGUUCUCACCUUCUAAGGAACCAUGAUGUCAUUCGUUUGAUGUUGUGGGGAAUUAGGACUGUUACCUUGAAAAAAUUAGAGUGUUUAAAGCAGGCUAACGUUUGAAUACAUUAGCAUGGAAUAAUGAAAUAGGACAUCCGAUUCUAUUUUGUUGGUUUUUAGGAUCGAUGUAAUGAUUAAUAGGGAUAGUUGGAGGCAUUAGUAUUCAAUUGUCAGAGGUGAAAUUCUUGGAUUUAUUGAAGACUAACUACUGCGAAAGCAUUUGCCAAGGAUGUUUUCAUUAAUCAAGAACGAAAGUUAGAGGAUCGAAGACGAUCAGAUACCGUCGUAGUCUUAACCAUAAACUAUGCCGACUAGGGAUCGGAUGAUGCUUAUUUUUAAUGACUCAUUCGGCACCUUACG
rnacentral:rRNA from 1 species